AAAAAGAAUUCACAAAGUUCUAAUCUUUAUCAAACCUCAUCUACUUUUCUAUUUGCCAUUCUGCUUUUCCUCUUAUCCCUUUUAAUUUUUCUAAUGAAUGACUUGAUUUUUGUUUCCCACCUCUUCAUUUCACUUUAUUGGUUCUGUGAUGAUGCUGGAGGCUGCCAGGGCCUCACACAGAAUGCAGCUGGUAAUAUGUAUGAUAAAGUCACCUUUGAGAAAGUUUACUUGCUUUUGGAGAUUCCAUUGUUCCCUGUGUGUGGCAAGCUGCAGACCUGGUGACUUCUAAGAACUUUAUGGUGGGGUUUUGAAGAGGAGAUAUCAGCUCAGUCUAUCAGUUUGAGAAGGAUCUACAUAGACAAAGAAAGCCUGCAAGCAAUAUAUCAGCCAGCCGCAGUGGUGUGCUGAUUUAACAACCAGCACUCUGAAAAAUUCCUGGAUAUCAGAGAUACCUACCAGAGAACACCUGGAGGACAGCUUGAAUUGGCCGUUAGUACCAGCAUGUGCCCUUUGAGACCCGCUGACUUCUUGGUAUCUCUCAGGUGUUCUGAAAAAGAAAAAAAAGAAGAGAACUGGGCUACUAGACUCCACAUCAAGGGACAUAAUUCACCUAGGGCAGGUAAGCAACUACCGUGGCAUCAAGGGAACAAAUACUUGCUCACCUAAUGCUUUCUAUCAAAAGAUUUAUGGUCAAAAAGGAUAUCAAUUAAAUAAAUAUUCAUAU